UAUUAUAUAUCUUAAAAUAAAGUAAUGAUUUUUUAAAUCAUUUAUAAUAAUAAAAAUUAUUUAUAAUAA
rnacentral:tRNA from 1 species